rnacentral:ncRNA from 1 species
AUAGUCUUUGGUGGUCACUGCAAACUCAGUGACAGGGCGUGGAAGCCCUUCUA